CCUCCUAAAUAUGAAAACAUUGAAGAAUGUAUCACUAUGCCAGUUUAUGAAGGUAUUUCAAACAAACUUAAACUAUAAGGGAAAUGUAGAAUAUGGCACUCAGGAGUCUGCCUGUAUUUCUUCAGCGCUUUUACAGUAUACCAAAAAUAUGAUCUUCAGCAAGCAAACUCAGAGCCAACAAAUACAUCUUUAUUUCCAGAUUUCCUACUAUCAGGGGAGGUUUAAAAAUCUGGAGUGCUAUAAAAAAAAAUCGGUUACUUCAAGCUGUUAUGAGAAGUCUACCCCCAAAAUGAACUAAUAAGAGUUUAACAAGCACGUUUUCAAAAUAUACAAUGGAAGAAAUUAUUAAUUUUGUUUUCAAAGUGCCAAUGACUCCCUUUUUUAAAAUAAUUGACUCCAAAAAUCUAACUCUUUGUGAUUGCGCAGGAGGAACAUGAAUGGGAGGUAACUAUCAACUCAAGACAUGUCAAAUUCAUCUGAUACUUACACGGAUAACAUGGAAUUGACUGUGCAGCACCGAAAUCCAUAACCAAGAUGUGUUUACAGUGGCAGUGUUAUCAAUCAUCGAUAAAGAAAUGAUACGUUAAAAAAUGGUAUUUUAAAUGUCUCUCUAAAAUAAAUAUCACUAAUAGGACUAUGCAGAAAUAUGAAUGAAUGGAUGAGUGAAUAAAUGAACAGAAGGGCUUGGAGGUCAUAGUUACAAUAAGCCCAAUUCUCCAACUCAACCUCAAAGGGGAAAAAGAAGUCCUAGUUCAUUGCUGAUUUUUAACAAUGUUCACCUAGUUGAAUACAAAAUAAGCUUAUGACUGGCAAUGUUAAUAUUUUGGGUUUUCAUGGGGGACAAUGAAUAGCAUUCUUUUCUCUGCCUGAGUUCUUGAUUAGAAAAGAAGUCACAGAUGGAGAGCAAAUAUCAUCCUUUAUGUAAUUGCUAAUACAGAGGGAAAGGGCUAAAAGUGUGGCAACAACAGAAUGCGUUAACCUUAAUUCUGAAAUUAAACAGACUUUCUAGCCAUAUUAUCACAGAAGUUGUUGCAGAGGUAUAGCCUACUCUUUCAUGUCUUUCAGUAUAAUCUAGAGCUUCUGCAGGCAGCCUGAAGGAAGAAGGAAGGGCUCAGCUAUACAAGGUCCUUGCAAAGUCACCUAACAGGUAAGUCACUCUGCCUAACCCUGGAUGGAAUGAGUGAACUGCAGCAUUAGAGGCUAAGAUGUUACAAGUGCAGUUAGGGGCAGCACCUCCGUGUCCCAAUGAUAUCUUUAUUUGGUCAGAACUAAAACAGUUCUAUAGAUCCCAGGAAAUGGGAAGGAUAUUUUCUCUCUUUUUUUUGGGGGGGGGUUCUUCUGUCUUUUUAGGGCUGCACCCACAGCAUAUGGAGGUUCCUAGGCUAGAGGUCUAAUUGGAGCUGUAGCUGCCUGCCUACACUACAGCCACAGAAACUCGGGAUCUGAGCCGCAUCUGCAACUUCCACCAUAGCUCACGGCAAAGCCAGAUCCUGAACCCACUGAGCGAGGCCGGGGAUAGAACCCAAAACCUCAUCGUUCCUAGUCGGAUUCAUUUCCACUGAGCCAUGAUGGGAACUCCAAGAAUUCUCCUUUAAGUUUCUCAUUUGAAGAGUUAAGCCCAUACCCAAUAUUCUGUGAUAAUCUUUAUGGGAAAGGAAUCUCAAAAAGAAUGGAUGUGUCUGUAUGUAUAACUGAAUCACUCUGUUGUACAGAACUAAUCACAACACUGUAAAUCAACUAUACUUCAAUAAAACUUAAAAAAAACAAAAAAGAAACAAAAGUUAAAGCCUAAAUAAAGAUCAUUUCAUCAUCCUUCUUACAUAUUAACAGGCAAAAAUAAACACAUAAUUUCUACCGAUGGCCAAAUAUCAGAUAACUUUUAGAAAUAUAUCUCAUUUUUCUACAAGUUAAUUAUCUUAAAAUAUGUAUUUCUCUGGAAACACUGAUAACAUUCAAUUGCAGAUACUGAUAUAAAUACAGCAUUCACUUUAGUUCUAUAAUAUUGAAGUUUUGAGGUUUAAAUUAUUAUGUACUCUGUUGUUUAACUUAGCAAACAGUGAUGGAUGAUGAAAUAAAGCACUUGUCAAAUCGAUUAGAUAUGGGAAAACUUUGAAAUUACACAUUCACUUCUUCAUCCCAUUAAAAAUCAAUCACUACACAGACAACAUGCAGAAAUUGGUUCUCUGAAUGUUUGAUAGUUUUAAGACAAUCUUCUACUGGAUUUGAAGAAUCUCUUCUUAUUCUGUAUAUUUACAACAAAUAAAAUCUACUUUAAAAAAGAGAAGCAAGCCUAGGGGAGGUACGUCAAAUUCUUUUUAUGUUUCGAUCAUGAAAAGGUUAUAUCAAAAAAGAUAUACUUGUUCACUUUUAAAGACUUUUAAAGAUUAUCUCUGCAAGAAUUUAUAAUUAAGACAGACAAGUGAUAUAAAAUCUCAGAGAAGUUAUAGACCUUGAAAUGUUCUAACAAUUAGGAUAGAAAAAAAUAUUAGAAAUGUGAUUUAAAAAAUAUGUAUUAUGCCCAUCAAAUAACUUCAAUGUUACUGACCUAAAAAUGAUAUAUUGUAUGUUUAUAACUGUAUAAAAAUGAGUAAGAAACUAUAUCAGAUUUGUGGAUUCCUUUUUUAUCCACCUUUUCCAUAUACUGAUGUUAAAGGAGAAAACUCAAAGAUCCUCAUUUCCUGAAUAUAAGUGCCUACAAGGAAAUCAGGAUUAUAUAUUUCUCUCUAGUGAGUAAAUAAUAAUUUUCUUAUUAUGAGCUUGGAUCGAGCAAAUAACAUACAACCUCUUAUCAAUCAAUGAAUUUGUUGGCCUAAAGCACUUUUUAGAUUAAAUCCUUUUUUAUUAAGACAAACUCAUUACUAUGUUCUAUGUACUAUGUAUUUGCUUUUAUAUUAUAUAUUUUACAUGUAACUCAACUAUCCAGAAAAUACCAUUUUAAGGGUGAUAUAUGAAUUAAAGAAAGUAGAUAUACUAUUAUUUUGAUAUUAUUGAUUUAGUUACUUGAAAUAACUGCACACAAAAAGACCUAUUUAUAAACUUUUAAGCAAUUUAAACACUUCGAAAGACAGGUUAGAAAAUACAUAAAUAUACACAUAUUUUACAUAUAAUAAAUAUAUGUUUAUAUUAAAUAAUAUCAUGUCUCCAUACAUUAUAUAACAUCUAUUUAAAGAAUUUUACCAUAUAUACGUAUGGUAUACAUAGAUAUAUAUGGUAAAAUUCUUUAAUACAUAAACAUUUAUAUGUAUUUGUGUUUAUAUAUGUAAAAACAUAUUUGCUAGAAAGUAUUUGAUUGACUGAAACCAAAUUUCUCAACUGUGACAGUAGGUUGAAAAUAAAGUUUAAUGGCUAUAUAAAUUAAAGUGACUUUUUAUCAGAAAGUGCUAUUCAAGCCAAAAUGCAGUAUACUUCAGGAAUAAAUUAAAUUCAUAGAUGUUAGCUCAAACUCCUCAUCAUUUAGAACUAUACCCUCAGGGCCCUUCAAGCAUGUUCAAAGACACACAACUCCCUAAGAGUAAAAGAUUCCACUUGAACUUGACAUACGUGCCCUGUACAAACACAUUUACAAGAAGGGAGGUUAUAGGAUUCCAUCAGCUCAGUAUCAGCUCAUUUCCACUAUCUGCCAAGAAAUUAAAAUGCAUUUCUACUUAAUCCUAGAGAUAAGCUUCUUUAAAGUUUAUUUUAGUUUAGUUAUUAAAAAAACACAGUAUUAACAGGAACAGUAUUUUUAUAGACAUUUCAGUAACAGAGAAGAGAUAAGCCAAAAGCAAAUGUAUAUUUGAAAUGAUAUCAUUAUCAAAUUAAAAAAUAUUAACUGUAUCUUUUAAAAAUGUCCAUCAUUUGAAAAAGCUAUCUGGAGACAGAAAGUUUUUGCACAGUCAUCAUAUUUUUAAAAUGUGUGCCACAUAAAAACAUUACUUUUAGAUUUUCAUGCUACUUUUUGUCUUGUGAUGACCCCUCCUGGUUGAGUUGUUCAUUAUCUUAGACUCUUGCGGUUUUUUUUUUUUUUUCCCUUUCUCCUUUGGAUGUUUUUAGUAUUAUGAAUAAAACUAUCAAACUUCUUCAGAACUUAUAUAAUAUAAAUAAAAAUGGUCAUUAAGUGUAAAAAUAUAAAUUUAAAAUACAGAGUAGGUGAAGCUCAAUCUAAUCAGUAAAAUUGACAUCAUUGCUAUUAUUUUAUUUCUAGGAUGGGGACAACUUUUGAGUUUUGGUCACACAAUUUAAAUUCAAAUGAAAUAAAGAAUAAUAUCAAUUAAGCCAUUAUACAUUUGAAGCCUAGGGGUAUAACAUAUAAAUAAAUAAAUCUUAAUAAUCAAACACAACUAUUAACUAUCUUAAAACUAACGGUUUCCGCUCUUCCCUAUCACCAAACUCUACUAAGUUGUAAGGACUAAGAAUAUAUUUUGGAAACAACAACUUUUCCAGUCUUAAAAUAUAUCAGCCUAAUGGCUGCUUAUGCGCUAUUUUUGACACAGUGAAUUUUUCAAAUUGAUUCUUUAUAAUUGGAGUACACAGAAAGAUGAAAUACAGAACUCAGGAAAAACUUGAUGUGAGGGCCUUCAAUCUGUGAACAUAAUAAUUUAAUUUAUAAUGAGUUUAUUUUCUAAGAAAAGUGGCAAUUUAGUUCUAUACAGCCAGACCCUGAUGAAGAAACUGAAAUUUCAUCAGAAUAGUUUUCUCAGUAUAUUGUUAUAUAUUUAUGUAAAUAUAUCUGCAUAAUUUAUGUUUAAAUCUAUACAACUGACAUUAAAUCUUAAUAAAACAUCACAUUCUGAAGUAUAAUCUAUUUCGUGGAAAAAACUAUAAAAGUGUUUUCAAGUUCAUUACAAACUUAGAUUCCCAAUUAGUGGUUUCUCUAUCUUUAAAUGCGAGAAAAAAGAAGCAAAUACUAUACUUGGGAAAUUAUGUCAAAACAGUAAUACUGGUUCAUCACACGAUAUUAUUACUUAGUAGAGUCUUUAGCACAACUUCUAAAGUCCUUUUUCAAUGUUUAUUCUUAUUAAUAUUUACAUACCAGGAUAGGAGCAUUCAUAUUAAUGUAUGGACAAAGAUGCAUUCAUGAAUCCCAGGAUAUGAUAAAGAGGUAGUACUACUUCAUAUAUGAAUUCUGGAAAACACCAAACUUUUUUUUUCCUAUAAUGGAAGACACUUAUUUUCAAACUCUAAAAUCUCCAUGAUAAUUCUUUAACAACUCAGUCAUCCUAAGAAACAAGUAUGCCUAAUGAAUAUUAUCCUAAGAUUCCUACAGGUAAUCUUUCCACUGUUUAACUCUUUCUGAACCAAAGGAGCAACCAUGCAUUUCCUCUCCAGAUGCACAGCAUGCACUUCUAAAGCCCUGCAGACGAUGAGCUGGAAUCUUCCAUUUCUUUUUACUCUUUCUAACCUCAUGAAUAAAUGAACAAUCUUUUCUAGAAGAAGCCACCUAAACACACAGGGAGAAAUAUAUGGAACAGCAUCAUUAUUUUCCUGAGAACUCUUGUAAGAAAUCUGUUCAUUACUGCCUUAAUGAUGUUUUGCACUGACCGUCCCAAGUCCUAGACUGCAUUACAUCCAACUGCCAAAGAGGCAAAGCAAUUUCAGGUAAAAUAUUGGAUUCGCCGUCUUCCAUUUUAAUAAGCAAGUACUAAACGGUCAUUAAUUUGUUGGGGAGGGGGUGAUAAAGAGAAGUCCAUAGAUGCCCAAGCUGCUCCAAAUAUGAUCCUUUUUUCAUCCCCAAAACCGUGUUCAUUUAAGUUAAAACCAUAGGUAUAAAAAUAAGAAACUUAUUUUUGCCAUGUUUUCACUUUUCAUUUACUGACCUACCUAAGCAAAACGCAAUAAACUUCCUCUACACAAACACACCGAAGUGGAAGAAUAACUCCCGAGUAGCUGUCACCUACACUAAUCACUCUAACCAAGCAGCAGCCAACCAAUCUCCAGGACCAGAAACAACUUUCCAGAAACAUCAGCGGCGUCAAAACCCUCUUCCCCCAAACCAAGGGAGCGGGAUUUGGAGCCUUCCCUGCUGCAGUGGUUCCAAGUGCGUGACAGCAGAGCCACACACACAAAUCAGGGAGCGAGACCAGAGAAGGCACCUCAGAGUUGGUACCCUGGGGUGGAACAUCACUGCGGCACUGAAAGUGCUCCAUCGCAGAGCAGGCUUGCGCUAGGGCUACUUACGGGACGUGGCGGGAGCCGUCCAGGCUCUGCAGAGGAUGCUGCCGACCAGCCAAAGCGAAAGCGCUGCCCCGCAAACGGAGCGCGGAGCCUCCACCAUCCUUAGCCCCCGGGCUCGCGGUACUCCAAAAGCUCGCUGCGGAGAGACGCCGUCCGUCUCCCCGUGGGGUGCUUGGAGAGAGAUGGGCUGUCCUCAGGCACCACAGAAAGCCGAGCCCCUCCGGCUUCCUCUUCUCCCCUCACCCCCUCCGCGUUCCAGUCCGGCCGGGCUCGGAACAGCAGGGCGGUCGCAGCCUUCCUCUUCCCUCCGCGCGGUUCUUGCCUCUUGCUCUGCGAACCAGUGAAAUGCCAGGGGGAAGAAUUCAAACCCAGAAGAAAAGGGAGGGGGGAGCAGAGGAGGGGACGCCUACCCCGCCCUCUCCCUCUCAGG
rnacentral:lncRNA from 1 species